rnacentral:tRNA from 1 species
AAGGACCUAGCUUAAUUAGAAGAGUGUUCGGAUUCCGACCCCGAAAGACCUAGGUGCAAUUCCUGGGGUCCUUGCCA